GUGGAAAUAGAAGAGCAAAGUUUGAAAGGAGCCAACAGUUUUAUACUUCACUCUACGAAAACCAAAUUGCUUAAAAAUAGGAUACCUUCUGUAGGUGCCAUUCAUUGAAUCUUCUGUCCAAAAUCCAACAGGCAAUAUAUACCCACUUAGUUCCUAGGUAGGAGUGGCUUGGUUCAAAGAGGGGAAAUGGUAAAAAAUAAGAUAGUACCCGUAAAAAAACAACUUUCCUGCCUCAUAUUUUCCUAAUCCCUUACUCCUAAUCUCUAUCACUCAAAAAAAGAAAACCUGUUUGGGAUCUAUGGUACACCUUAAACUAUAAGUGGCCUAAAAUAUUCACAGAAGGGAUACGUCCAUGAUAAAGACUUAAGAACUUCUGCACAAGACUACUGAGUUUCUGGUGUUUAAGUGGACUAUCUGUACCUCACACUCUCUUAAACUUUGUGGAGAGUCUUUGAUCCUAAGAAACGUGAAACGCUGCUGAAGAAAUAACACAGAUAAACAGAGAGUAAUACAAGAUUAAUAGACUACACUGUGCAGGACACAGCUAUGAAAGAAACAAGGAUAAGAACACUGCCUGUCAUAUGGCCAAUGUUUAUGGAUCCAGACAGCGUUAGUGCUGGCUUUACCACCUCCACCAAAGAUCUUAAGAGCCCUCCGGAGUUACAAAGCACUGAAUCUCACCAGAUGUUGGUAACACUGUGGUCCACAAGGCUUGUUGUCCAAAGCGGUUUCUGUGUUCUUCCUCUUAUAUGUGUUGGGUGUUGCAUGGAAGGCUGUAAAUUAAACACAAAGUAUCUGAAUAUGGUUAUAAAAAGUUUACUUUUUCAUCUCCCCAGAUCCAUUGGAAAAUCUAGUACCUUCCAAAUAUGUAGUUUACUUUAUACAACUCCCCUCCAUCUAUCACAGGGUAUCCUCCACUCUUCCUCCAACCUCCAAGAAAGGUGAAAACAUGGUAAACUCUGGAAUGAUUCAUGAUUCUUAUUUUCCCUUUGCAAGUAUGAUCUAUGGGAAUAAAGUAUGACUAUAGACAUUUACUUGAGUCUUUCUCCAACAAGUAAAAAAUAUUUGGGGAAAAAAAAACCAGACUUCCUAAUUUUACAAAAAUAUUCUGGCAUCUACAAUUUCUCUGUCUAGGGAGGCUUUUUAUGUUUUUGUUUUUUUAACUUUGGGAGUGGGGGUGGGGAAGAGGGGUGAGAUAGAAGGUGGUAUCUUUCCCAGGCUGGCUUUGAACUCAUAGCGAUACUCUAGCCUUGCUCCCUGAGAACUACAAUUAUAGAUGUUUAUUACCACACCAUGCUCUGACAUAAUUACUUGAUUUCUAGAUGAAGGAUCAAUUUAGUAAGCAUGAACUAGAAAACAGUUCUACUUAUAAAAUUUCUAAAAAAAAAAAAAAAAAAAAAAGUAGCUUCAAUAUCUCGUACUCAAUUCUAGGUAGGGUGUGUUAACCAGUUGUUUUCUCACACAAUGGAAAAAGUCAAUGCUUAAAACGCAGGAGAAUUUUUUUGAGUUUGAGGUAGGUUGGUCUAAAGAGCUUGUUCCAGGAUAGCCAGGGUUAUACAAAGAAACCCCAGGUUGGGGGUGGGGGUGAGAGUGGGGGAGGUGGAAUAAUUGAUACAUUUUACUCACUGCAAAUUUUAGGAAUGGGGAUGUGGCUUACUGGGAGUAUAUGGGAUGUAUCUUAGAGAGUGUUCAGGGAUGGGGGUGUGUCUUAAUGGGAGAGUGUGCAGGGAUGGGGCUGUGGCUAUAGUCUAGUGUGUGCCCAGCAGGGGCAAGGCCCUGGGUUCAAUCUCUAAUACUACAGAAAACUAACAAACCCACACACCGGCCUGUAGAGAAUUCCAACUUUAGUGGGAUAUGGUGGUAUGCUCUGGUAAGUUUUAGAGCUCAGGAGGUUGAGGCAGGAGAAUCAAAAGGAUCACGGAAAUCAACAGUUCAAGGCUAGCCUCAGCUACAUACGGAGUAUGAGACACUAUUUCAAAAAACACAAAACAAAUUCCAAUUACCUGGAAAUUUUACAAAGAAACCUCAUUUUCUAGAAAUGCCAAAGGAAAAAAAUUAAUUUUCAUACUGACAUUUAGAAUAUUUGUUUUGAAACAUGAAGUACUUAUAAAACAAUUAUUCGAAGGAUCAAAAAGAAACAAAAAUAUUUUAACACGAGGCAAGUAAUUGUUUGUAUAAAUGCCUUUUCACCAAUUCAUUAACUUAACAAAAUUUAUUCAUAAAUAUCUGUAAUAUUGCUCUGAGCUCCUUCACUAUAAUAACCUCAUUAUAAAAUAGCCUUGUAAAGAGUCACUGAGCUUUACUUCAAGUUAAUGGGAAGCAGUGAAUGGAAUGAAAUGUGUACAAAAGAUGUCAGGAGUCCUCAAAGAAUGUAAAAGUCACAGUACAGGGAUGUAACAUAUUUCCCAAUUCUCACUCUAAGAUUGGCUGGUACACUUUGGUUGUGGUAACUGAGAGCCAAGUUGCUUUACUACAGAUUUCAACAACAAAAAUAGAAA
ensembl:lincRNA